rnacentral:rRNA from 1 species
AAAUUGAAGAGUUUGAUCAUGGCUCAGAUUGAACGCUGGCGGCAGGCCUAACACAUGCAAGUCGAACGGUAACAGGAAGCAGCUUGCUGUUUCGC